UACGGGGGGGGCAAGCGUUGUUCGGAAUUACUGGGCGUAAAGGGCUCGUAGGCGGCCAACUAAGUCAUACGUGAAAUCCCUCGGCUUAACCGGGGAACUGCGUCUGAUACUGGAUGGCUUGAGUUCGGGAGAGGGAUGCGGAAUUCCUGGUGUAGCGGUGAAAUGCGCAGAUAUCAGGAGGAACACCGGUGGCGAAGGCGGGUCUCUGGGCCGAUACUGACGCUGAGGAGCGAAAGCGUGGGGAGCGAACAGG
rnacentral:rRNA from 1 species